UUUUUGGUGGAGUGAAUAAAUAGGGCAGUGGACCGUGGGAGGUUGAGGGAGAAAAUGCUCGAUCGUGGCUUUGGCAACGGAGGCAAAGCCGGGGCUCUGAUACCAAGUUGAUGCAGCACCAGUGCGGGGGAAGAGAAGAAGAAGGAAGAACAAGAGAGGAAGAAGGAAGAAGAGGUUCUAGAGACACAGGAAGAAGAGAAGGGGAGGAGAAGGAGGAAGAAUAAGAUCUGGGGGAAAAGAAAUUCUUAAUCAUUCAUUAAACCCUAAUCAUGAAAAUAGUUCCCUAUAUAUAGGGCCCAAAUACACAACUUGCAUAAACCCCCCUUACACAGAAAUAAAUCCUAAUGAACCCACAAAUAACACAAAUAAGCCCUAAAAUGCAAAUAAGCCCAGAAAUAAAAUAAACCACAAAUAAACCCUAGAAUGCAAAUAAGCCCAAAAAUAAAAUAAUAAAAUAAAUAUGCAAAUAAACGAGUCUGGCUCAAUCCGGGGGCUCAGGAUCAUCUGGAUGAAGGGCUCUGAUGUCCCCAUC
rnacentral:lncRNA from 1 species